CCUACGGGUGGCAGCAGUGGGGAAUUUUCCACAAUGCUCGAAAGCGUGACGCAGCGACGCAGCGUGCAUGACGAAGGCCUUCGGAUCGUAAAGUUCUGUCGACAGGGAAGAAAAUGCCUAUAAGUAACUGAGUAUGUAUUGACGGUACCUGUUUAGACAGCCACGGCUAACUCCGUGCCAGCAGCCGCGGUAAUACGGAGGGGGCGAGCGUUGUUCGGAGUGAAUGGGCGUAAAGAGGACGUAGGCGGUGUUGUAAGUCUUUAGUCAAAGACUCGGGCGCAACUUUGGGACCGCUUGGGAUACUAGAAAACUAGAGUUAGAUAGAGGAUAGCAGAAUUCCAGGUGAAGCGGUGAAAUGCGUAGAUAUCAGGAGGAAUACCGAAAGCGAAGGCAGCAAACUGGCUCGAAACUGACGCUGAGGGGCGAAAGCGUGGGUAGCAAACAGGAUUAGAUACCCUAGUAGAC
rnacentral:rRNA from 1 species